AACUCCUUUAUCGCCAAGGCUUUAGUGAAGGGGUCGGCCAGGUUCUCCUUUUGUCGAUCUUUUGAAGGUCGACGUUACCUCGAUCCAUAAUCUCCUGGAUCAAGUGGAAGUGGUGCAAAAUGUGCUUCGUCCGCUGGUGUGUUUUGGGUUCCUUCGUCUGAACAAUGGCACUAGUGCUGUCGUAAUAGAGCAGGAUCGGACCAUCGAGGGAGGUGCUACUCCGAGCUCGGUGAUGAAUUUUCU
rnacentral:lncRNA from 1 species